CCGUUUCAAUCUGCUGCGGUGAAAUAAAAUGAACAUGGGCAUCAAUCCCGCCAGCAGUCACAAUUUUACCUUCCGCUCCGAUAAUAUCAGUCGCUGCACCGAUGGUAAUAUCGACGUCAUCCAUCACCAGCGCAUUACCACUCUUGCCGAUUCCGCAUAUUUUACCGUCUUUAAUGCCGAUAUCCGCUUUAUAAAUCCCUGUGUAGUCCAAUAUAAUUGCAUUUGUCAAUACCGUAUCUGCAGCUUCAUCAUUUAAAGCAAGCGGAUUUUGACCCAUGCCAUCCCGUAUGA
rnacentral:sRNA from 1 species